rnacentral:rRNA from 1 species
UGCCAGCCGCCGCGGUAAUACGGAGGGUGCAAGCGUUGUUCGGAAUUAUUGGGCGUAAAGCGCGUGUAGGCGGUUCGUUAAGUCUGAUGUGAAAGCCCGGGGCUCAACCCCGGGAGUGCAUUGGAAACUGGCGAACUUGAGUACGGGAGAGGAAAGUGGAAUUCCGAGUGUAGGGGUGAAAUCCGUAGAUAUUCGGAGGAACACCGGUGGCGAAGGCGAACUACUGGCCAUAUACUGACGCUGAGGCGCGAAAGUGUGGGGAGCGAACAGGAUUAGAUA